rnacentral:rRNA from 1 species
AGGACGAACGCUGGCGGCGCGCUUAACACAUGCAAGUCGAACGUGAAGCUGGAGCUUGCUCCGGUGGAAAGUGGCGAACGUGUGCGUAACACGUGAGCAACCUGCCCCGAAGACUGGGAUAACACCGGGAAACCGGUGCUAAUACCGGAUACCUUCUUCCGAUCGCAUGGUUGGAUGAAGAAAUGGAUUCCGCUUCGGGAUGGGCUCGCGGCCUAUCAGCUUGUUGGUGAGGUAACGGCCCACCAAGGCGACGACGGGUAGCUGGUCUGAGAGGACGACCAGCCACACUGGGACUGAGACACGGCCCAGACUCCUACGGGAGGCAGCAGUGGGGAAUCUUGCUCAAUGGGCGAAAGCCUGAAGCAGCGACGCCGCGUGCGGGAUGAAGGCCCUCGGGUUGUAAACCGCUUUCAGCAGGGACGAAAUUGACGGUACCUGCAGAAGAGGCCCGGCCAACGUACGUGCCAGCAGCCGCGUAA